rnacentral:rRNA from 1 species
CGGACGGGUGAGUAACACGUGGACAAUCCUGCCCCCCGGCCCGGGAUAGCCCCAGGGGAAAACCUGGAUUAAUACCGGAUGAGACGGGACCCGCGAUGGCGGGACCCGGGAAAGGCGCUGCGGCGCCGCCGGGGGGAUGAGUCUGCGUCCCAUUAGCUAGACGCGGGGUAAGGCCCACCGUGGCGACGAUGGGUAGCCGGCCUGAGAGGGUGGACGGCCACAUUGGAACUGAGACACGGUCCAGACUCCUACGGGAGGCAGCAGCUAAGAAUCUUCCGCAAUGGGCGAAAGCCUGACGGAGCGAACCGCCGCGUGAACGAAGAAGGCCGUGAGGUUGUAAAGUUCUUUUCGGGAGGGGGAACAACCGUGGCAGGGAAUGGCCGCGGGAUGACGUGAAUCCCGGAAUAAGCCCCGGCUAACUACGUGCCAGCCGCAGC